rnacentral:rRNA from 1 species
AUGGACGCCGAGGCCGCCGCCGCCACCGCCGCCACGGCUACGCCUCCGGCGCCCUCCUCCCAACCUCUGGGCUCCAUCCCGCAGCCCCCUCCUCCACCCCCUCCUCCCUCCUCCGUAGUACACACGCCUCUCCCUCUCCAGACUGCGCCGCCGGUCGCCAGCUUCCCUUCUGCGGCCUAUAUCCACGCGAUGCGCGUCGAGAGUGCCCACAUCAACCUCGGCGUCCGCCUCGAUAUGAAAGGGGCCAACUACUCGACUUGGCGUGGCCUCAUGCUUGAGGUCAUCGACCAGUACGAUGUGGCGGCUUGGAUCGCGCCGGACUUCACCAACCGUGCCGGCGACGUGGCGUGGAACAUCGUCAACAAAGCCGUCAAGCGCUGGUUCUACGGCUCCAUGGUCACGGAGCUCGCCGGCUUCGUCCUCAACAGAGAAGCCACGGCGGCCGAGCUGUGGUCCUCCAUCGAGUCCUUGUUCGUCAACAACAGGCGCUCUCGGCGCUUCCAGCUCACGGCGGAGCUCUUCGCCGUCAAGCAAGGAGACGCCCCGGUCUCCUCCUUCUGCGCACGCCUUAAGGCCGUCGCGGACGGGCUGCGGAACGCCGGCAAGGUGCUGGACGACGAUGAACUCGUUGUUCAGCUCCUCCGCGGUGUCAACAAGGACCGUCAUGAGAUGACUGCAAAAAUCAUCGAGAAAUCUCAAACUCCUGUUCCCUUUGAUGUUGCAGUUGGUAUGCUCCUCCAGGACGAGAUCGGUGCUGACUUCUCCCCCUCGGGCGUCUCCCACACCGCCCUCGCCGUCCAGCAGCAUCCACCUGCCCCUGCCUCCUCCUCUGGCGGGCACGCCAGGCCUCCUGUGCCCGGGCAGGGCGGCCCCAAGCCUGGUACUCCUUCGCCAAACCAGGGGAACAACAAGCGGCGCCGCUACACCAACAACGACGGCUAUCAAGGUGCCGCCAACUCGCCACCGCCCUGGACUGGGCACGUGUACGCAUACCCCGUCUCGCUACCGCCUCCGCCUCGUCCGCAGGGGAUCCUCGGGCCGCGCCCAGCUCAGGCCUACACGGCCUACGCGCCGCUCCAGUACGGCGGUGUGCCGUCCGGACCGACGGGCUAUGGGGGGCGUCGUAUGGUUCGGUACCGUACCCGGCCGCCCCUUCUGGCUGCACCUCCGCAGCCGCACCGGCACCACACCACGCAGGCUUUGGAUGGAGUGGAUCAGGCGGCGCUGAUGGGGGCUCUCCACAACCAGACGCUGCAGAACUCCACCAACGGGUGGAUCGCGGACUCAGGCGCUUCUUCUCACAUUACCUCGGACCCAGGAUUACAUCACCAAGGCGGCGCUGCACCGAUGCAACAGUAG